CUUGGCUUGUGUGACGUCUGCUCAGAGAGCCAGUCCCAGCUGCCUUGCUUGCUGCGCAUGCGCGCGUGUAUCCGGGCGUGCCGCGGUGCCGCUGCUUUCGGGACUCGGGUCUUUGCAGAGCAGGUGGGGACAGGAACGGGGUGGGGCUUGGCGUUAGUGUUUCCGCUAGAGUUUAGUCUUUGUGUAGGCUUCAUGGUGGGAGAAUUUCCUCCCGGGACAGUAGUAGCAGCGUUUUAGACUGGAAGAAAGCCCAUAAAUUGCCUUUCGGAUCCUAGCCAUCCAGAGGCAUCUUUUAAGAAGUUUCUCUCGGAAUGGGGCCUUCCCAAUCCUGUUAGAGCGCAAUGCCAUACUUUUAGAAGAUGUCAGUGCUGUGGAAUGAGAUGGCCAACCAUCAUAUGUAUGCUGCAACUCAGAGAUACAGCUGUGAAUUCUCAGAAUACGUUCUACUAUGCCUUAGACAAAACUCAACCAUUCUCUUCCAUGAUGUAGAAUGGCUACUAAAAAGGAAGAAGAAAAGAAAGCUUUCAGAGGACAGUGAAGAGCUAUAGAGAAAAUCCCUUCUGGGAGCACCAUGAUCCCCAGGGAGCACUAUGAUACCUGGAGGCGGUAGAGGUAAGCUGGUAGGUUUGUCAAACCUGCUUCAGGGACACUCCAUGUGGUCCUGGGCUGAGAUAUUUUUGAAGCUGGUGCAAGCAGCAGUGGGGAAAUGGGGGCCUAGUGGUAUGGUGGUCAUUCCAGAAAUGUAACCCCUCAGAAACGUGCUACCCAGCCUCUUAUAAGAAGGGUAAAACAAAUAAAGCUGCUGCCUAUUUGGAACA
rnacentral:lncRNA from 1 species